rnacentral:rRNA from 1 species
GAUGAACGCUGGCGGCGUGCUUAACACAUGCAAGUCGAACGGGAAACUUUUCAUUGAAGCUUCGGCAGAUUUGGUCUGUUUCUAGUGGCGGACGGGUGAGUAACGCGUGGGUAACCUGCCUUAUACAGGGGGAUAACAACCAGAAAUGGUUGCUAAUACCGCAUAAGCGCACAGGACCGCAUGGUCCGGUGUGAAAAACUCCGGUGGUAUAAGAUGGACCCGCGUUGGAUUAGCUAGUUGGCAGGGUAACGGCCUACCAAGGCGACGAUCCAUAGCCGGCCUGAGAGGGUGAACGGCCACAUUGGGACUGAGACACGGCCCAGACUCCUACGGGAGGCAGCAGUGGGGAAUAUUGCACAAUGGGGGAAACCCUGAUGCAGCGACGCCGCGUGAAGGAAGAAGUAUCUCGGUAUGUAAACUUCUAUCAGCAGGGAAGAUAGUGACG